rnacentral:rRNA from 3 species
CUAUGACGUUAGCGGCGGACGGGUGAGUAACACGUGGGCAACCUGCCUGUAAGACUGGGAUAACUUCGGGAAACCGAAGCUAAUACCGGAUAGGAUCUUCUCCUUCAUGGGAGAUGAUUGAAAGAUGGUUUCGGCUAUCACUUACAGAUGGGCCCGCGGUGCAUUAGCUAGUUGGUGAGGUAACGGCUCACCAAGGCAACGAUGCAUAGCCGACCUGAGAGGGUGAUCGGCCACACUGGGACUGAGACACGGCCCAGACUCCUACGGGAGGCAGCAGUAGGGAAUCUUCCGCAAUGGACGAAAGUCUGACGGAGCAACGCCGCGUGAGUGAUGAAGGCUUUCGGGUCGUAAAACUCUGUUGUUAGGGAAGAACAAGUACAAGAGUAACUGCUUGUACCUUGACGGUACCUAACCAGAAAGCCACGGCUAACUACGUGCCAGCAGCCGCGGUAAUACGUAGGUGGCAAGCGUUAUCCGGAAUUAUUGGGCGUAAAGCGCGCGCAGGCGGUUUCUUAAGUCUGAUGUGAAAGCCCACGGCUCAACCGUGGAGGGUCAUUGGAAACUGGGGAACUUGAGUGCAGAAGAGAAAAGCGGAAUUCCACGUGUAGCGGUGAAAUGCGUAGAGAUGUGGAGGAACACCAGUGGCGAAGGCGGCUUUUU